AACGAACGCUGGCGGCAGGCUUAACACAUGCAAGUCGAGCGCACCGCAAGGUGAGCGGCGGACGGGUGAGUAACGCGUGGGAACGUGCCCUAAGGUACGGAAUAACUGAGGGAAACUUCAGCUAAUACCGUAUGUGCCCCUAACGGGGGAAAGAUUUAUCGCCUUUGGAGCGGCCCGCGUCGGAUUAGCUAGUUGGUGGGGUAACGGCCUACCAAGGCUUCGAUCCGUAGCUGGUCUGAGAGGACGACCAGCCACACUGGGACUGAGACACGGCCCAGACUCCUACGGGAGGCAGCAGUGGGGAAUCUUGCGCAAUGGGCGAAAGCCUGACGCAGCCAUGCCGCGUGAAUGAUGAAGGCCUUAGGGUUGUAAAGUUCUUUUACCCGUGACGAUGAUGACGGUAACGGGGGAAUAAGCUCCGGCUAACUUCGUGCCAGCAGCCGCAGUAACAC
rnacentral:rRNA from 1 species